GGGCUGGGGCUCAGGGGUAGAGCGCUCACCUAGCAAGUGUGAGGCCCUGGGUUCCAUCCUCAGCAGCACA
rnacentral:tRNA from 1 species